AGCGAACGCUGGCGGCAGGCCUAACACAUGCAAGUCGAACGAACCUUUCGGGGUUAGUGGCGGACGGGUGAGUAACACGUGGGAACGUGCCUUUAGGUUCGGAAUAACUCAUGGAAACUUGUGCUAAUACCGAAUGUGCCCUUCGGGGGAAAGAUUUAUCGCCUUUAGAGCGGCCCGCGUCAGGUUAACUAUUUGGUUGGGGUAAUGGCUCACAAGGGCGAAGAUCAGUAGCUGGUCUGAGAGGAUGAUGAGACACAUGGGAACGGAGACAAGGCCCAGAAGGAUAAGGGAGGCAGCAGUGGGGAAGAUGGGACAAGGGGCGAAAGCGGGAUAAAGAAAUAAAGCGUGGGUGAAGAAGGAUUUCGGGGGGUAAAGAACAUAGGUUGGGAAAGAAAAGCAGCAGGUGAAGACCGAGAUGUUAUGAAGGGACAAAAAGAAGAAGCACAGGCUAACUUCGUG
rnacentral:rRNA from 1 species